rnacentral:RNase_P_RNA from 2 species
CAGGUAAAACAGACAGUCGCCGCCAAUUUUUUUGGGGGAGGAAAGUCCGAGCUACACAGAGCAAAAUGCCAGCUAACGGCUGGGCGUGGUAACACGACGGAAAGUGGAACAGAAAGCUAAACCGCCAAUGGCUGCCCGAAUUUCAGACAGCACAGGUAAGGGUGAAAUGGUGCGGUAAGAGCGCACCGCGCAACUGGCAACAGCUUGCGGCAGGCUAAACCCCAUUUGUAGCAAGACCAAACAGAACACAUUGACGCUGCUCGCCGAGUGUUCGGGUAGGUUGCUGAUGAGCGCAGCAGCGAUGUUGCGCCUAGAUGAAUGACUGUCCAACGACAGAACUCGGCUUAUCGUUUUGCCUGCAUU